rnacentral:lncRNA from 1 species
AAGUACGUGAGUGCGCAUGCGUACAGAGCGGAAACCGCUCGCUUUGGGCUCCCGUAGUGAGUCAUCUUCUCCUCUGACAAUCUUUGGCUGAGAUACCACUUUUGGCGCCGAAUAUUCCAAAUUAAUAUUUUGCCUCUCUGCAGCGCGGGAGUUGGUGUCUUCGUGUGUGUGAAUGUUGGACUUUUUUGCUGCGAUUUAAACGUUUGUUUUAACCGGGUAUCAGGUGAAGGAAGAGUUUAAAGACAACAUGCAGCGGAGCAUCGCAUCCUUCUUUCAGCCCAAGAGCAAGGACAUUCAGAAGAAAGCUGCAGAGGAGCCUGUGAAAAAGCCUGUCAAGAGUCCUCUGAAGGUGCAGAACGGUGUUCAGGAAGCAGAGUCGCCCAUCAAAAAGGUUGUGAAACGCUGCCGUCAAAUCCUGGACAGCGAUGAUGACGAGGCCCCAGUUGUUAAAGAACAAGUUCCCAGCAAGGGACAAGGAGACAAAGAAGCUCCUGAUAAAACAGAAAAGAAGGAUGAUGCGUUUAAAGCCGUUCCCACCCCCUGUCUCCACCAUCGGCCCCAGCCACGCCUGUAACCCCGGCCACCCCCGCCACCCCUGUCACUCCAGCCACCUCUGCUUCACCGGGGACCCCCAGCACUCCCAAUUCCGUCUCCCCAACUGGGAUCGUCAAACGCAAGACUGGUCAGCAUCUGAACAGAUUUUUAUUAACUUUGUCUUAAUUAAGCUGUUUCAGAAUUGUGCUUUUCAGCUCGUUUUCCAAACUUGCACCAUUUUGAACUUUGACACCAGCAGAGGAUUAAUAGCUUUCCUGCCUCGAGCUGUUUUAUUUGAUUACUUGUUAGCAGGCGCCUAAUGGCUCAAAAUACUCAUUAUUUCACAAUGAGGGAGAAAACAGGAAAUUUAUCUCGAACUGAAUGCAUAAGAAGUUUGUUCACCAGAAGCGGUGAAGUUCAUUUUUCACCCUUUUCUUUCAUUUGUCUUUCCACACUCUGGUCUGCCUUAGAUUGACAACCACGAGACUAGACCGUGAUUGCGCUAUCAUUAAUCUCAUCUGCUGUACCACGAGUACACCCUCCUGGAGCCUAUAUCAUUAUUUUUCUGCACGUCUUUGCAUUGUGAUAAUAAUAUUAUUACUGCUAUGUUGUCUUAGCAGUGCAUCGUUUGUGCUGACUGGGAGUUAAUCGAACCAGCAGAGCAUGUCGUCCUAUUAUUGCAGCUGAUUGUCGGUGUUUAUUUGGGUGCUUUCUUGGGUUUGCAAGCUUUAGAAACUUUGGGCUUUUUUAAAAAAAAAACAAGGCAUAAACAUAUGUAGUGAUUAUUAUUUUAUAGCCUCAGUUGGUACACAGCAGCUUGAACGUUUCACAUCUGCAAGAUAAAACUGAAAGAGAGCUGCUGUUUCUUAUUUGUAAAUUCUUAAUCAGAUGAUGUGUGGAAAUUUCUGCAUUUAAAAUGAAACUGAAUGGCCUAGUGAUUUUUUUUUUUUUUUUUUUUAACAUGGCUCUUUGUAGUUGCUGUCUUUCCCAUAUAACACCAGAUAUGUUGGAGUUUGAACAGAGAAUUUAAGCUGCUUAGAGUUUUCUAGCAUUCCAGCUUUGUCUUCAUUUGAGAAGCACCUCCUCUCCCACUUUGUUUCCUUCAUCUUAGUUUUUGCAGCAGUAAAAGUGGCUCGUUCUCUUCUCAUCGUCCCGUUCUCUUUGUGUUUGAUGACUGCAGUGUUUGCUUUCACCAGUGGCGCGUUGCCACAAUAAGAGCCCCACCACCAUCACUGCUGGAGAAAACAUCACAUUAAAGUAACUCCCUAAUUCGACCAGAAAUUGCAUUCUUAAUGUCCCGGGUUAAUGCUUUCAUUAUAAUAUCCAGAAGAAAAACAUCAGCACUGCUACCUGUGCUAGAACCCCUAACAAGGGCCAAAACAGAGGCGGAUGUGUUACCAAAACUGAAAUUGCCCUCGAGCACCACUGCUGCAUAAAAUUGCAGGGUAAUUUACACUGGAACCGUAAGCUGCUGUGCUGCAUAAUAUUCUUCAGGAUGGAAUUAGUGUUUUCAUUAGCAAAGUAUGUAUCUAUGAUUCUCUCUCCCUUUUUUUUUCCCUUCUUCUUCUUGCCCUACAUCUGCAGCAAGAGAGGAGACUCGUCCUGUUUUCAUCUCCACAUUCUCUUACUGUUUGAUCCUGGCAUGAUUUCAGCUGGGAUGCCUCUUUCUUUUUUUUA